UCAUUUGAAGUUUGACCUGAAUUGUCUUCUUGUAACUCAUGGAAGACUUUUGUCACAGGUGUUCUGUUAGAAGAGGUAAUCAGAACACGGGAGAUGGGAGCAUGCGGAAUAAGAUGCUCUGAUGCUAUCUAAUUUUGCACUUGAGAAUCAAUUACACACAGCUAGCUUGAGGAUAUAGAAGUUUUGUCCAACUUAAACAUAACGUCAUAGAUUUUGCCAACACAUUAAAAUGAGUCCAACU